GCUGGGUGUGGUGGCACACACCUGUAGUCCCAGCUACUUGGGAGGCUGAGGCAGGAGAAUUGCUUGAGCCCAGGAGGUGGAGGUUGCAGUGAGCCAAGAUCGUGCCACUGCACCCCAGCCUGGGCAACAGAGCAAGACUCCAUCUCAA
rfam:Pan troglodytes isolate Yerkes chimp pedigree #C0471 (Clint) chromosome X, whole genome shotgun sequence.